rnacentral:lncRNA from 1 species
UUGUGAAAAUUUUAAUAUACUCGCAAGCGCACGAAUCUAGAAAUAGAGAAGUGGUAACGAGGUCGAUCCCACAGGGAUUGUUAUAAAUUGAAAAGUCUAAUUUAAAUCUAAAAUUAAUAUUAAUUCUAACCUAGUUGAGCAAUUUGAGUUUUAAGAGAAAUUAAACUAAUUAAACUAAGAAAACAAUUAAAGCAAAUGAGAAAUCAAUAAGACAAAUUACCAAGGUUUUAGAAUCCACCACUAUUCAACUAGUAAUUAUCUAAUUAUUAAUUAAUCCCCAAUUUUAGAGUGACAACUCGAAAUCAAUCUAUGUCAUCUCAUGGAUAUAACAAUUAAGCCCAAAUAAAAUUAAUCUUAUGUAGGUUCUUUUUCUGCUUAAUAAUAUGACAUCUAAGCAUCCCAUGUAAACAUAUUGAAUAACAAAGAGUCAAAGUUUUCCUAAGCACUCUAUGUAAACAAUUUAAUGAAAGACAUAAAAUCAAAGAUAGUCAUGUAUAAACUUUAUAAAUCCAAGCAUAGAUUUAAUCGAAUAUUAAUCCUAACAAUCAAUAAUGCAUGACAGAAUUGAUGAAAAGAUUUUAUUAACAUCCAAUUAAUCAUGUGAGAUAAAAACCAUAAUCAUCAAAGAACAUAUAUAGGGAAUUAAUUAAAUAAAAAGAGAUAAUUAUUUCAUUAAAUAGGGUUUCAUCCUUAACCUCAGUAUAAGAAAAUUAGCUAGACAUACUUGAAUUGUGAGCAACAAAAGAAAUAAAAUCAGCCAUGGAAGCUGAAAUAUUGCUGCUGCCGAUUGAUCUCUUCCAGCCUUUUGUUUCUGUCCUCUGGCGGCUCCUCUCCUCCAAAAGCCAAGAGUUUAGCUUUCUUAUAUAGCCUUUAAAAUGGACCCCACCUUGCCAAUCCUAAAGCAAAAAGGGUUUGGCCUUUUAUUUGUUUUGCUUCACUCACGUGGCCACUUUGAAUUGUAAUAGGUUUCCUUCUUCCAUUUAUGAAAGCCACGUGGGGUCCCUUCUUAAAGCUAAAAUCAAUUUCUAUCUUUUGUCCGCAUGUGCAUGGGUAGAUGAAUUUGUUGAAUUCGG